GGGUGCAGCCAAUGGUGAAAAUCAGAGUGUGGGCACCUUGAUGCAAAUAAAUCUUUUUACAGCAAGCUAAAAAUGCAUUUCUGAGAAGUGCAGGUGUUGUAUGUAUGUUCCAGUGCCCUCAUGCUCCAAAUUAUAACUUGGUGUACUACAGAAAAUUCAGUGGCUGGUGAAGAAUUUUGGACCAUGCAGAAUGGUAAAUGGUAAGCUGAGGAAUGAGAAGAGAGUUUAUAGCCACAGAAUAUCAUGCUGACAGGAUGCAUUGCUGUUGGGAGACUAUUGUGGCCUCAAGUCUACCAGCCGUGGAGGACAUGUCCCAGUUUGGAGGUUUUCUCACAGGUACUGAGUUAGAUCGCUGUGCCGCUCAAUACGUGUCCCAGCUCGUGCCAUCUUCUCCUAGGAACUAGUGGCAGUGACAGCAGUUUGAGCAGGACAGUGUCAACUAUUUGGAAAUGUGACCAGCUCUUUGGGCUUUUUGUUGCCUGAUCAUCCAUCCCUGCCAAGACACACUACCAAAACCUGGCCAUGGUAACCCCACACAACCAUCUACUUUUCACCCUGGAUAUUAAACUUGGAGAAAAUAAAGCAUAUGCACAGUCCUGAGGAAAU
rnacentral:lncRNA from 12 species